AACGAACGCUGGCGGUAUGCCUAACACAUGCAAGUCGAACGAGAACGCACCUUCGGGUGUUAUUAGAGUGGCGCACGGGUGAGUAACGCGUAGAUAACCUACCCUUAAGUCGGGGAUAACUUUUCGAAAGGGGAGCUAAUACCGGAUGAAACUUUUGAUCGAGUGGUUAAGAGUUGAAAGCUUUAGUGCUUGAGGAUGGGUCUGCGUCCCAUUAGCUAGUUGGUAGGGUAAAAGCCUACCAAGGCGACGAUGGGUAGCGGGUCUGAGAGGAUGAUCCGCCACACUGGAACUGAGACACGGUCCAG
rnacentral:rRNA from 1 species